AGUGACUCACUGCGCAGCCGGGGAUGGAGACAGAUCCUAGGAUUCGGGGACUUAGUUUGUGAAGGCUGGGAACAUGAACGGAAAGUGAGCAGAGAGACUGAGAGACAGACAAGAUAGACAAGACAGACAGAUUUACAGGAUUAAUGAAAAGUAGAAAGAUAACUCUAGUAAGGUAGUGACAGAGUGGUGGUGGCGGCGGCGGCGGAGGCGGCGGCGGCGGCGGAGGCGGCGGCAGCAGCAGUAAUAGAGAUUACCAUAUGGAUGAAAGUUAAGGGCAAGCAGAGGCAGUGUCACAAGAAGUGGUCUAGGACUCCAAACAUCAUCGUCUACCACAAGCUGUGUAUCAUUUUUUCCUUCAGGCCAUGGUUUUUCCAUUGAUGAAACAAAAAGGUCAGAUGAAAUCAGUAGUUGGUUGUGUGUGUAUGUAUUAUGCAUAUAUGAUAAUUUCCUUAAGCACGUUUUCAAAAUGUGUCUCUGAGGUUCCCCCAAAGAGUCAAAUCUCAGUCUGUGGGAGUAAGGAUCGAGGAGGUACAUUUUGAAAUAUUUCCACAGACAAUUUAAUAAGCGCUCCCUCCUAUCCCUGGUCCUGUUUUCUUUCUUCCGUGGAUUGCUUUGCCGAGAACCACCUCUGCUCUUUCCAAAUGGCAUCAUUCAGAAAGUGAUAGCGAGCCAGAUGUGCUUGUCAGUGAAGGCUGGGUCACAGCAGUUAUCAGAGGAGACCAGACACAGGGAGCUGUGCCCUCAGUGGGCCAAUGGCCAGAUAGCAGGCAGCUUUAUUUUUACAGCUUCGGUCUUUGGGCAUUUUUCCCACACUGUUGCAUAAGAGUCAGAACUAAGUUUUUAGCUAGCUAACUUUUUUUUUUCAUUUGGAUGAUGUUGUUGUUUUGUUUUUGUCCUCAGUUCAGUGUGGGAUCACAAUAUUUGUUAUUAUCCAGCCUAGGCACUGGCUAUCCUUGAGGAAGGUAGCCACUGACCAGUAAUGGAGGAAAGCGGGGGACAGGGGCACAGUUAACACCUGUGUCUCAGAUAACCUUGUGUCUGCAGUGCUCAGAACUGUACCUGGCACUGGUGGGGACUCAACAAAUAUUUGCAGAACAGAAAUCUAAUGAAAAGCAGAAGUAUACCACCAAACAAACAAAAGGCAACCCUGCCCACCCCAGUGACUUAGGGGAAUCACUGCUUUUCAUCUGCAGGGGGAAAAAAAACCCAGCUGCAAAGGAGCCAGCAUGUGAUGUUAUCCCAAGCUCACAUAAAAGUGGAAGGGCAAAAUAAAACUACCGUCACACAAAGAUGGGGAAGAUUGCCACCCACACACCCUCUCCCAGCAGAACACUCUAGCAAGAAAGAAAAUGAUCCUAAAAUAUGGACAACAAGAGAGUGGGUAAGCAACUUUCACUACCCCUGCUUCUGCAAAUUCUGUGGCCCGGAAAAAGAGAACAAACAGAAUCCCAGAUGGUCUCAACAUAAUGGCUCUGGGUUAGGAGAGAAUAGAAGGUGAGCAAGAAACAAGUGGGCUAAUUUGAAGUUGUAUCAAAUAGAUAAUUUGUUCGGUGUGUGUGUGUGUGUGUAUAGCAAUAUAAAUCUAUUCUAGACACUCAUUGAAUAGCAUGUGCUUAGCUAUGCGUUUAAAUUUGAGUAUAGACAGGUGUACUGGCUUUUUUUUUUUUUAAUGUCAGUUUGACACAGACUAGAGUCAUCAUCUGAGAUGCUGGAACCUCAACUGAGAAAAUGCCUGUAUGAGACUGGGCUGUGGGCAAGCCUGUAAGUCAUUUUCUUAAUUCAUGAUCUACAGACGAGGGCCAGUCCAUUGUGAGUGGCUCCACCCCUGGCCUGGUGGUCCUGGUAGCAAGCCAGUAAGCAGCGCUCCCCCGUGGCUUCUGUGUCAGUUCCUGCCUCUAGGUUCUUUCCCUGCUUGAGUUCCUGUCCUGACUUCCCUCAGUGAUAGACUGUUACCUGAAAGUGUAAGCAAAAUAAACCCUUUUCUCC
rnacentral:lncRNA from 1 species